rnacentral:rRNA from 1 species
GACGAACGCUGGCGGCGUGCUUAACACAUGCAAGUCGAACGGAAAGGCCAUGCUUUUGUGGGGUGCUCGAGUGGCGAACGGGUGAGUAACACGUGAGUAACCUGCCCUUGACUUUGGGAUAACUUCAGGAAACUGGGGCUAAUACCGGAUAGGAGCUCCUGCUGCAUGGUGGGGGUUGGAAAGUUUCGGCGGUUGUGGAUGGACUCGCGGGUUAUCCGCUUGUUGGUGGGGUAGUGGCUUACAAGGGCUUUGACGGGUAGCCGGCCUGGGAGGGUGGCCGGCCACAUUGGGACUGAGAUACGGCGCAGACUCGUACGGGAGGCAGCGGGGGGAAAUAUGGCACAAUGGGCGGAAGCCUGAGACAGCAACGCCGCGUGCGGGAUGACGGCCUUCGGGUUGUAAACCGCUUUCGCCUGUGACGAAGCGUGAGUGACGGUAAUGGGUAAAGAAGCACCGGCUAACUACGUG